GGGUUGUGAGGUUAAGCGACUAAGCGUACACGGUGGAUGCCUAGGCAAUCAGAGGCGAUGAAGGACGUGCUAAUCUGCGAUAAGCGUCGGUAAGGUGAUAUGAACCGUGAUAACCGACGAUUUCCGAAUGGGGAAACCCAGUGCAAUUCGUUGCACUAUCGUUUGAUGAAUACAUAGUCAAACGAAGCGAACCGGGGGAACUGAAACAUCUCAGUACCCCGAGGAAAAGAAAUCAACCGAGAUUCCCCUAGUAGCGGCGAGCGAACGGGGAGCAGCCCAGAGUCUUAAUCAGCAUUAGCAUCAGGAGAACGGUCUGGAAAGGCCGGCAGUAAAGGGUGAUAGCCCCGUAUCCGAAGGUGUUAGUGUUGUGAACUCGACGAGUAGGGCGGGACACGUGUUAUCCUGUCUGAAUAUGGGGGGACCAUCCUCCAAGGCUAAAUACUCCUGAUUGACCGAUAGUGAACCAGUACCGUGAGGGAAAGGCGAAAAGAACCCCGGCGAGGGGAGUGAAAUAGAACCUGAAACCGUGUACGUACAAGCAGUGGGAGCCCCACCACCAAAGCAUUUUCUGGUGUUGAGGACAACUUUGAAGUGACAUUCAACACGCGUUGGCGGAGCGUUUUUUGCGACGCCCAACACACAAAACAAGCAGUGAAUGUGCUUUGGGGUGGGGUGACUGCGUACCUUUUGUAUAAUGGGUCAGCGACUUAUAUUCUGUAGCAAGGUUAACCGUAUAGGGGAGCCGUAGGGAAACCGAGUCUUAACUGGGCGAAUGAGUUGCAGGGUAUAGACCCGAAACCCGGUGAUCUAGCCAUGGGCAGGUUGAAGGUUGGGUAACACUAACUGGAGGACCGAACCGACUAAUGUUGAAAAAUUAGCGGAUGACUUGUGGCUGGGGGUGAAAGGCCAAUCAAACCGGGAGAUAGCUGGUUCUCCCCGAAAGCUAUUUAGGUAGCGCCUCGUGAACUCAUCUUCGGGGUAGAGCACUGUUUCGACUAGGGGGUCAUCCCGACUUACCAACUCGAUGCAAACUACGAAUACCGAAGAAUGUUAUCACGGGAGACACACGGCGGGUGCUAACGUUCGUCGUGAAGAGGGAAACAACCCAGACCGCCAGCUAAGGUCCCAAAGUCAUAGUUAAGUGGGAAACGAAGUGGGAAGGCUCAGACAGCCAGGAUGUUGGCUUAGAAGCAGCCAUCAUUUAAAGAAAGCGUAAUAGCUCACUGGUCGAGUCGGCCUGCGCGGAAGAUGUAACGGGGCUAAACUAUGCACCGAAGCUGCGGCAGCGAUAUGUAAAUAUUGUUGGGUAGGGGAGCGUUCUGUAAGCCUGUGAAGGUGUACUGUGAGGUAUGCUGGAGGUAUCAGAAGUGCGAAUGCUGACAUAAGUAACGAUAAUGCGGGUGAAAAACCCGCACGCCGGAAGACCAAGGGUUCCUGUCCAACGUUAAUCGGGGCAGGGUGAGUCGACCCCUAAGGCGAGGCAGAAAUGCGUAGUCGAUGGGAAACGGGUUAAUAUUCCCGUACUGGUGAUAAUUGCGAUGGGGGGACGGAGAAGGCUAGGCUAUCCGGGCGACGGUUGUCCCGGUUUAAGGAUGUAGGCAGGUGAAUUAGGCAAAUCCGGUUCAUUAUAUGCUGAGGUCCGAUGACGAGUCACUACGGUGAUGAAGUAGCUCAUGCCCCGCUUCCAGGAAAAGCCUCUAAGCUCUAGAUUAUCAUUAAUCGUACCCCAAACCGACACAGGUGGUCAGGUAGAGAAUACUCAGGCGCUUGAGAGAACUCGGGUGAAGGAACUAGGCAAAAUGGUGCCGUAACUUCGGGAGAAGGCACGCUGGCGCUAGGUGAAGUCCCUCGCGGAUGGAGCUGAAGCCAGUCGCAGAUACCAGCUGGCUGCAACUGUUUAUUAAAAACACAGCACUGUGCAAACACGAAAGUGGACGUAUACGGUGUGACGCCUGCCCGGUGCUGGAAGGUUAAUUGAUGGGGUUAUCCGUAAGGAGAAGCUCUUGAUCGAAGCCCCAGUAAACGGCGGCCGUAACUAUAACGGUCCUAAGGUAGCGAAAUUCCUUGUCGGGUAAGUUCCGACCUGCACGAAUGGCGUAAUGAUGGCCAGGCUGUCUCCACCCGAGACUCAGUGAAAUUGAACUCGCUGUGAAGAUGCAGUGUACCCGCGGCAAGACGGAAAGACCCCGUGAACCUUUACUAUAGCUUGACACUGAACAUUGAGCCUUGAUGUGUAGGAUAGGUGGGAGGCUUUGAAGUGUGGACGCCAGUCUGCAUGGAGCCAACCUUGAAAUACCACCCUUUAAUGUUUGAUGUUCUAACGUAGCCCCGUUAUCCGGGGUGCGGACAGUGUCUGGUGGGUAGUUUGACUGGGGCGGUCUCCUCCCAAAGAGUAACGGAGGAGCACGAAGGUUGGCUAAGCAUGGUCGGACAUCAUGCGGUUAGUGCAAAGGCAUAAGCCAGCUUGACUGCGAGAGUGACGGCUCGAGCAGGUACGAAAGUAGGUCUUAGUGAUCCGGUGGUUCUGAAUGGAAGGGCCAUCGCUCAACGGAUAAAAGGUACUCCGGGGAUAACAGGCUGAUACCGCCCAAGAGUUCAUAUCGACGGCGGUGUUUGGCACCUCGAUGUCGGCUCAUCACAUCCUGGGGCUGAAGUAGGUCCCAAGGGUACGGCUGUUCGCCGUUUAAAGUGGUACGCGAGCUGGGUUUAGAACGUCGUGAGACAGUUCGGUCCCUAUCUGCCGUGGGCGUUGGAAGAUUGAAAGGGGCUGCUCCUAGUACGAGAGGACCGGAGUGGACGCACCACUGGUGUUCGGGUUGUCAUGCCAAUGGCAUUGCCCGGUAGCUAAGUGCGGAAGAGAUAACCGCUGAAAGCAUCUAAGCGGGAAACUUGCCUUGAGAUGAGUCUUCCCUGACUCUUUAAGGGUCCUAAAGGAACGUUUAAGACUAAGACGUUGAUAGGUUGGGUGUGUAAGCGUAGCGAUACGUUGAGCUAACCAAUACUAAUGAACCGUGAGGCUUAACCUGACAACACCGAAGGUGUUUUAG
rnacentral:rRNA from 1 species